GCUGGGCUCGGUGGCGUGUGUCUGUAGUCCCAGCUACUUGGGAGGCUGAGGUGGGAGGAUUGCUUGAGCCCAGGAGUUCUGGGCUGUAGUGCGCUAUGCCGAUUGGGUGUCCACACUAAGUUCGGCAUCAAUGUGGUGACCUCUUAGGAGCAGGGGACCACUAGGUUGCCUAAGGAGGGGUGAACCAGCCCAGGUCGGAAACGGAACAGGUCAAAACUCCCGUGCUGAUCAGUGGUGAGACUGCGCUUGUAAAUAGCCACUGCACUCCAGCCUGGGCAACAUAGUGAGACCCUGACUCU
rnacentral:SRP_RNA from 1 species